AUUGAACGCUGGCGGCAAGCCUAACACAUGCAAGUCGAGCGGAUGAAGGGAGCUUGCUCCUGGAUACAGCGGCGGACGGGUGAGUAAUGCCUAGGAAUCUGCCUGGUAGCGGGGGAUAACGUCCGGAAACGGGCGCUAAUACCGCAUACCUCCUGAGGGAGAAAGUGGGGGAUCUUCGGACCUCACGCUAUCAGAUGAGCCUAGGUCGGAUUAGCUAGUUGGUGGGGUAAAGGCCUACCAAGGCGACGAUCCGUAACUGGUCUGAGAGGAUGAUCAGUCACACUGGAACUGAGACACGGUCCAGACUCCUACGGGAGGCAGCAGUGGGGAAUAUUGGACAAUGGGCGAAAGCCUGAUCCAGCCAUACCGCGUGUGUGAAGAAGGUCUUCGGGUUGUAAAGCACUUUAAGUUGGGAGGAAGAGCAGUAAGUUAAUACCUUGCUGUUUUGACGUUACCAACAGAAUAAGCACCGGCUAACUUCGUG
rnacentral:rRNA from 1 species